GACAGGGUAGCUUAAUGGCAAAGCAACAGUCUGCAAAACUGUUUUAUUGUGAGUUCGAGUCUCACCCUUGUCU
rnacentral:tRNA from 1 species